rnacentral:rRNA from 1 species
CGAGCCUGACGCAGCCAUGCCGCGUGAAUGAUGAAGGUCUUAGGAUUGUAAAAUUCUUUCACCGGGGACGAUAAUGACGGUACCCGGAGAAGAAGCCCCGGCUAACUUCGUGCCAGCAGCCGCGGUAAUACGAAGGGGGCUAGCGUUGCUCGGAAUUACUGGGCGUAAAGGGAGCGUAGGCGGACAUUUAAGUCAGGGGUGAAAUCCCGGGGCUCAACCUCGGAAUUGCCUUUGAUACUGGGUGUCUUGAGUAUGAGAGAGGUGUGUGGAACUCCGAGUGUAGAGGUGAAAUUCGUAGAUAUUCGGAAGAACACCAGUGGCGAAGGCGACACACUGGCUCAUUACUGACGCUGAGGCUCGAAAGCGUGGGGAGCAAACAGGAUUAGAUACCCUGGUAGUCCACGCCGUAAACGAUGAUUGCUAGUUGUCGGGAUGCAUGCAUUUCGGUGACGCAGCUAACGCAUUAAGCAAUCCGCCUGGGGAGUACGGUCGCAAGAUUAAAACUCA